UGGGGAAUAUUGGACAAUGGGGGAAACCCUGAUCCAGCAAUGCCGCGUGGGUGAUGAAGGCCUUCGGGUUGUAAAGCCCUUUUGGCGGGGACGAUGAUGACGGUACCCGCAGAAUAAGCCCCGGCUAACUUCGUGCCAGCAGCCGCGGUAAUACGAAGGGGGCUAGCGUUGUUCGGAAUUACUGGGCGUAAAGGGCGCGUAGGCGGCCCUGUCAGUCGGGCGUGAAAGCCCCGGGCUCAACCCGGGAAAUGCGUUCGAUACUGCAAGGCUUGAGUGUGGGAGAGGAUGGUGGAAUUCCCAGUGUAGAGGUGAAAUUCGUAGAUAUUGGGAAGAACACCGGUGGCGAAGGCGGCCAUCUGGACCACUACUGACGCUGAGGCGCGAAAGCGUGGGGAGCAAACAGG
rnacentral:rRNA from 1 species